UACGAAGGGGGCUAGCGUUGCUCGGAAUACUGGGCGUAAAGCGUGCGCAGGCGGUUUUGUAAGUCUGUCGUGAAAUCCCCGGGCUCAACCUGGGAAUUGCGAUGGAGACUGCAAGGCUAGAAUCUGGCAGAGGGGGGUAGAAUUCCGACGUGUAGCAGUGAAAUGCGUAGAGAUGUGGAGGAACACCGAUGGCGAAGGCAGCCCCCUGGGUCAAGAUUGACGCUCAUGCACGAAAGGCGUGGGGAGCAAACAGG
rnacentral:rRNA from 1 species